GACGAAGGGGGCUAGCGUUGUUCGGAAUUACUGGGCGUAAAGCGCGUGUAGGCGGUUGCCCAAGUCGGGUGUGAAAGCCUUGAGCUCAACUCAAGAAAUGCACUCGGUACUGGGUGACUAGAGGACCGGAGAGGAUAGUGGAAUUCCCAGUGAUAGUGGUGAAAUACGUAGAGAUUGGGAAGAACACCAGUGGCGAAGGCGGCUAUCUGGACGGUUUCUGACGCUAAGACGCGAAAGCGUGGGGAGCAA
rnacentral:rRNA from 1 species